UAAGCGCCCCGCCUGGGGGAGUACGGCCGCAAGGCUAAAACUCAAAGGAAUUGACGGGGGCCCCGCACAAGCGGCGGAGCAUGCGGAUUAAUUCGAUGCAACGCGAAGAACCUUACCUGGGUUUGACAUACACCCUGCCGCUCCAGAGAUGGGGCUUCUUUUGGGGGUGUACAGGUGGUGCAUGGCUGUCGUCAGCUCAUGUCGUGAGAUGUUGGGUUAAGUCCCGCAACGAGCGCAACCCUCGUUCUAUGUUGCCAGCAUGCCCUUCGGGGUGAUGGGGACUCAUAGGAGACUGCCGGGGUCAACUCGGAGGAAGGUGGGGAUGACGUCAAGUCAUCAUGCCCCUUAUGUCCAGGGCUUCACGCAUGCUACAAUGGCCGGUACAAAGGGCUGCGAUCCCGUAAGGGGGAGCGAAUCCCAAAAAGCCGGUCUCAGUUCGGAUUGGGGUCUGCAACUCGACCCCAUGAAGUCGGAGUCGCUAGUAAUCGCAGAUCAGCAACGCUGCGGUGAU
rnacentral:rRNA from 1 species